UGGCUGCUCUCGGAAUACGGGGAAAAGCAGUGGGGUCACUAUUGUCCUCCUUGUCUCCCUCCGUCGCUGCCGCCGAAGGAACGCGGUCGGGCUAGGUCCAGCGGGGGAAAGUGGCGUUUACACCGUUUUCUUCAUUCACCUUUUCCUUUCACUCUUUCCUUCUAUGCAUCGCUAGCACGCCGACUGGGUGCAACACCGCCUGAGUGCUUGCCGUCUUGUCCGUGUUUGUCAGCGCACUCCUAUCGUGAAAAAUGCUCGCUUGCGGUCGUCAUUCCUACUGAGAAGCCUGCAUCUUGAAAUACACAGCAAAGUGGCCACGAAUUUUCGUGAGUGUUAGAAUUAAUAUAGGCGAAACAACAACCAGAAAAAAAGUCGGCGCUCGUGGCCACCGUCUUCGAUGUGGGAUGAACUCGGAUACACAGAAGCGUGGAUCUUACAAUGUGCAAGCAUCUCCAAGUAAUGGUGAAGUGGCUAUGGGAAAUGGUAGCAGUUUCAACGAAACCACCGCGUUAUCGUGGUCCUCGGGGGCUUGAUCAGCCCGCCGUCAUCCAAGCACUGACCAACCUGCCUACCGACGUCAGCUCCCUGCCCUGAAACCCCUGGCCAGCCUACCGUCCUCGGCACCUUGCCCAAUUCCUGUCCUGAGGGCAGUGCCUGUAAAUAAACUAUUUGAAGAUAACCGAGCGUCACCCAUCCAGGUCGACGGAAAAUGCCUGUUUGUGAAGAUUUAUUCGCAAAUAAACUGUCAUAAAAGUCAA